GGGUGCGACCCGAGAGAAGGAGCGGGGCUGGUGGGGCUGCUGCAGCCGAAAGGAAUGAAAGACCGGCAGUGCACCUGCUUGGAUAAUAAGCACGUGACCCAAAACUUUGUUCGGGCUCCAUGGGCAGGAAUAAAGCUGGGUAUUUGACCUCGCGCGAGGACGAGCGAGAAUGUCAGAAUGAGGGACUUGGGGGAAGACUGAAGAGAGAAAGGGAGCAUCUUCUUCAGCAUUUUCUCUCCCUCCUGGAUGCAACCCUUCCUGUACGUGGUCAUUGGCCUGGAGAUGUUUACUGGAGUACUCCUCCACCGGCAGGGUUACUGGUGUCACUGUGCACCCAGUCCCCUCGAGCUGCGUGAUUCAUCGCAGCCUUUGGAUCCGGAAGGAUGAGCAAACUCCUUAAGUGUAAUCGUGUCACAGGAAAUAAGUAAUCAUGGUGCUCAACAGUUUGGAUAAGAUGAUUCAACUCCAGAAAAACACUGCCAACAUCAGGAAUAUUUGUGUUUUGGCUCAUGUUGACCAUG
rnacentral:lncRNA from 1 species